GACGAACGCUGGCGGCGUGCUUAACACAUGCAAGUCGAACGGAAAGGCCCUGCUUUUGUGGGGUGCUCGAGUGGCGAACGGGUGAGUAACACGUGAGUAACCUGCCCUUGACUUUGGGAUAACUUCAGGAAACUGGGGCUAAUACAGGAUAGGAGCUCCUGCUGCAUGGUGGGGGUUGGCAAGGUUCGGCGGUUGGGGAUGGACUCGCGGCUUAUCAGCUUGUUGGUGGGGUAGUGGCUUACCAAGGCUUUGACGGGUAGCCGGCCUGAGAGGGUGACCGGCCACAUUGGGACUGAGAUACGGCCCAGACUCCUACGGGAGGCAGCAGUGGGGAAUAUUGCACAAUGGGCGGAAGCCUGAUGCAGCAACGCCGCGUGCGGGAUGACGGCCUUCGGGUUGUAAACCGCUUUCGCCUGUGACGAAGCGUGAAUGACGGUAAUGGGUAAAGAAGCACCGGCUAACUACGUG
rnacentral:rRNA from 1 species